AUCCUUUAUGUGAUUAGCUGUGAUGUGUUGCAUUCCAUGAAAGCAUGAAUAAGAAAAAGUUAUAUAAUUAAUAUACCUAAAAAUGGAGGAAUCAUAAUAAUAAUAAAAUGAAUAAUAAUAUACCUAAAAAGGGUGGAAUUAAAGCAAAUAUUUUUAGUUUCCGCUCAUUGGGCUUUAUAGCUCACCCCCUCUCCCCUAACCCCAGUCUUGCAGGUGCAGAGUAGAUAGAGAAGCCAGCAGAGUAAGAGAAGUUUAUGUAAUAGCUUAGCUGUGGACAUGGUUUGUUGGUAAUGUAUAAGUAAGAUGAGAUGUAAUGUAAUGUAAGUUUGAUAAUGUGCUUGACUAGAGUCUGUUGUAUUCCCAGUACACAUGGUCUUGUAUGAGUUAUAAUGUUUUUAUGAUGAUUAUGUAAUCCAAGCCUAUGUUAUGUUAUGUUACCCCAUUGGAAUAUUUGAUGAGGAUUCCAAUGAGAGGUUUAUGUUAUGUUGUGCAUGCACAGGCUAGGCUUGGCAAAGGAAUGUUUGAAUGAAUGAAAAGAAAAGUUUUAAUUUUUAUGUAUGUUGUUGACCAUGUAUGGGAUUAAACAGGUUCACAAGAUGUAUGUUUGGCUUGCUACGGGUCCCGGCGGCCUUAAGCCGAUCUGGAUCCUAGCACCGGUGGCGGCCUGAUUUUCGGGUCGUUACAGAGUGUUAUCAAAGCCCUAGGUUCAUAUGGUCGGACCUAGAGUGUCGGGCUCAUAGAUGUGAUAGAAAGUCAAGCACAAUAGGAAAUCAUGUCCACUAGGAUAGGAUAUAGAGUCCUGUCUAGAAUGAAAGUAUGAUAUGCCAUGGGAUAUGCUAUGUAUAUGAUGUGGGUUCAUGUGUUUCCACAUGAACCAUUGGAUGCUAAUGUUUUGAUUUCUGUGCUGUUUUUUCAGUAAUCAGAAUGCGAGGAACUCGUCGAUCAGCUAGAUUGGCUAGAGUACCACCGGAGGAUGAGGGCACGAGCGCCCGUCCUCCAGCAUUGCCAAGGGCAAUGUCGAGUAGGUCCCACAGGGACAGAGCAGUGGGAGAUCCUAGAAGAUCUCUGGAUCUGGGUAGAAACAGAUCAGUAAGAGGAACGGUUCAAUGAGACAGGUCAGUGGAUGUGGGAGAAGAGAUGGAUGUGGACCAGAGGAGGGAUGGUAGUCUUGGUGUGAGCAUGCCAGAAGAGGGCAUGGGUGNNNN
rnacentral:lncRNA from 1 species